CCUACGGGAGGCAGCAGUGAGGAAUAUUGGUCAAUGGACGAGAGUCUGAACCAGCCAAGUAGCGUGAAGGAUGACUGCCCUAUGGGUUGUAAACUUCUUUUAUAUGGGAAUAAAAUGUUCCACGUGUGGGAUUUUGUAUGUACCAUAUGAAUAAGGAUCGGCUAACUCCGUGCCAGCAGCCGCGGUAAUACGGAGGAUCCGAGCGUUAUCCGGAUUUAUUGGGGUUAAAGGGAGCGUAGGUGGAUUGUUAAGUCAGUUGUGAAAGUUUGCGGCUCAACCGUAAAAUUGCAGUUGAAACUGGCAGUCUUGAGUACAGUAGAGGUGGGCGGAAUGCGUGGUGUAGCGGUGAAAUGCUUAGAUAUCACGAAGAACUCCGAUUGCGAAGGCAGUUCACUGGACUGCAACUGACACUGAGGCUCGAAAGUGUGGGUAUCAAACAGGAUUAGAUACCCGAGUAGUC
rnacentral:rRNA from 1 species